rnacentral:rRNA from 1 species
AAGCCAUGCAUGUCUAAGCACAAGCCCUUGAAAGGUAAGGCCGCGAAAAGCUCAUUACAACAGCUAUUGUUUAUUGGAUCUUUACAUUCUUACACGGAUAACUGCGGUAAUUCUGGAGCUACUACGUGCAUUAAACGACGACCUUACGGAAGUCGUGCAUUUGUUAGACCAAACCAAUCGGUCUUCGGACCGUCAUUUGGUGAACUCUGAAUAACUUUGCUGAUCGCACAGUCUCGUACUGGCGACAAAUCCUACAAGUAUCUGCCUUAUCAACUUUCGAUGGUAGUUUAUACGACUACCAUGGUUGUAACGGGUAACGGAGAAUAAGGGUUCGACUCCGGAGAGGGAGCCUGAGAAACGGCUACCACAUCCAAGGAAGGCAGCAGGCGCGCAAAUUACCCACUCGCAGCACGCGGAGGUAGUGACGAAAAAUAACGAGGUGGCUCUCUACGAGGUCCGCCAUCGGAAUGGGUACAAUUUAAAUCCUUUAACGAGGAUCUAUUGGAGGGCAAGUCUGGUGCCAGCAGCCGCGGUAAUUCCAGCUCCAAUAGCGUAUAUUAAAGUUGUUGCGGUUAAAAAGCUCGUAGUUGGAUCUGCGUUUGGUGAAAGCGGUCGCCCGACGGGUUGUUACUGCUUCUCCCGAACUAAUCAUUCGGUUUUCCCUUGAUGCUCUUCAUUGAGUGUCCUGGGUGACCGGAACUUUUACUUUGAAAAAAUUAGAGUGCUCAAAGCAGGCGAUUCGCCCGAAUAUUCGUGCAUGGAAUAAUGAAAAAGGUCCUUGUAGCCUUUUAUUGGUUAUUGUUAUGAGGAAAUGAUCGACGGGGACAGACGGGGGCAUUUGUAUUGCGACGUUAGAGGUGAAAUUCUUGGAUCGUCGCAAGACAAACUACUGCGAAG